UCCUUCGUAGUGUAAUGGUUAGUACACUCGGCUUUUAUUCGAGAGGUCCAGGUUCGAUUCCCGGCGAGGGCA